AAAAAGAGAAAUGACGUCAUGGAAGCGAGAGAAGGUUGAGGUCACAUGCAGAGACGCAGAUGAAGAUCUGUAAGCUCAGUAUUUUCUCCUUGUAUUUCUUCUUUGUUCGUUUUCUUUCCGUCUUGUCUCUCCAU
rnacentral:ribozyme from 11 species